UUCCAGCUGACGAUUCCCAAAUUGGACGAAAUGCGCGUCCUGGAU
rfam:Schistosoma mansoni, Puerto Rico, WGS project CABG01000000 data, contig: 0194